AUUUCUAUGGGUGACGACUUGUGGACUACCGUGAAGGUAAAGGCCCCGCGCCGACUAUUUUGGGCUUGAUUAAGGCGAUCCCUACGAGUGGAGGAGAAAUCAUUUAUGAUGGCGAGAACCCUGCUGGCCAUCUUAUAUGCCCCUAAGGACGGCAUAGAAGGAGCUGACUGCUGAAUAUGGCCCUGAGACUAUACUCUGGCCUGAAAAUGAACUUCAGGAAGCUACUUUAGAGAGAAGAGGGAUGCAGCUUCUCCUUUAACUUCCCUUAUUCCUGUGAUGACUGGAGCGCUCACAACAUUUUUAGGUCAUGAGAUAAUGCACCGUAAUGGAGGGCAGAGCAUCAAGAAAGAAGGAACCUCAGUUCCUGAUACAAUGAAGCACUAUAGCAACCCUGAAAUUUUUAGAUGGCUUGAAGACAAAUUGGAGAUGGCAGAAAAAAGACUCAGUGGCCUUGAAGGAAGCCAUGUGGAAUUGCCACAGAAGCCAAGGAGUUGAAAGGCAUUCCAGGCUGCUGCAGCUACUCAAAGAAGUCAUCAAGGACCCGUGUUCCUCCUAGUGCCCCAGUUCUCCAUCCUUAGGAUGUUUCUUCCAUCUUCAUGGUGACAAGAUGGCUUCUCCACCAUCAAGCACUGUGUCCAUGAGUCAGGCAGAAAGAAGAGGGGCAAGGCAAUGGGCUUGUUCCCAGAAGCCCCACCAAGCCACUGUCUAUAGGAUUGAGAAUCAGCCAGAACUAUAUUAUAUGGUACCGUGAAUGAAAAAUGUUGCCUGCCAUAUCAGUAAAUAAAGGAUGUUGCAGCCACUGAGGUAUGACAGCCACCUCUACUGGCACACUCUGAGGGAACUCAGGAUUGGAAAGAGCAGGAAACUGGCCCUAGACAGCUAAGGUGCGUAUCAAAGGCAUGAUUUCAAUGAGCCCAGACUCUUGCAUCGUCCCACACAUAGAAAAGUGCUAAAGUCAUAAUUUUCUUUGAUUAACAGUAAUCUUUUGAAGUUCCAACUAUACCUGGUCUUUGUUGCAGAAACUCCUAUAUAUUCUGGCUCCUCCUUUACCUCUUCAGAACAAUCCCUCAGAGCAACCUGAGAGGCGGCAUUCUGGACUUAUGUCUUCAGUUUUGUCUAUCAAAUAAAAUAUAAUUCUUGACUUUCAGGUGUGCAAUUUUUUGGCCAUGCCCACAGCAUGUGAAGUUCCCCAGCCAGAGAUCAAAUCUGCACCACAGUUGUGGCAAUCCCGGCUCUACCACUUGGGAACUUCCUAGAUGUAUUUUUUCGGUCAACAGAGCCCACAAGAGAGGCUGAAAGUUCAAUGUUAUAAGUGGGUUCUUUGUGCUUGGAAUAGAUUCUGUGAGUAAAGAUAAGAGAGAGAAUAGCUAUUCUAGACUUGCCAGGUCUGCAACACUGGCAUAGUAUGUACCUUGAAAAUGCUAAUUAUAAACCUGAUUUUUUUCUCUUUUUUUGCAACUCUGAAAUUUCUUAGGAGGAUUUAGAGUGGAAGCUCAUAGAAAACAUUAAUUCUCUGUGGAGAAAUAUUAAAGACUACCACUUCAAAAAGUAUUGGACUAUACCUUGCAGACUCUCUUAAAUAUUGUUAAUAAAGGACAGAGAAUAAUGCUGCCAGAAGGACUCUGGGAAUUUAAUACAACUUUAAGUAAAGCAACAAAACAACAAACAGAAAUGUGUAUGAUUUGCAUUCUCUCCACAACUCUUUAUUUGUGAAAUGUAUUAAACUGAAUCAAAACACAUGACAUAGAAAUUUGACUUUCAUCCAGAAUAAAACUGCUGAUAGAUUCUCCAAGUAAAAUGCAUUAAU
rnacentral:lncRNA from 1 species